rnacentral:rRNA from 1 species
UGUCGUGACUGCGUGCCUUUUGAAGAAUGAGCCUGCGAGUUUGCGGUGUGUUGCGAGGUUAACCCGUGUGGGGGAGCCGUAGCGAAAGCGAGUCCGAAGAGGGCGAUUUAGUAGCAUGCUCAAGACCCGAAGCGGAGUGAUCUAGCCAUGGGCAGGUUGAAGCGGCUGUAAGAGGUCGUGGAGGACCGAACCCACCAGGGUUGAAAACCUGGGGGAUGACCUGUGGUUAGGGGUGAAAGGCCAAUCAAACUCCGUGAUAGCUGGUUCUCCCCGAAAUGCAUUUAGGUGCAGCGUCGCGUGUUUCUUGCCGGAGGUAGAGCACUGGAUAGGCGAUGGGCCUUACCGGGUUACUGACCUUAGCCAAACUCCGAAUGCCGGUAAGUGAGAGCGUGGCAGUGAGACUGUGGGGGAUAAGCUCCAUGGUCGAGAGGGAAACAGCCCAGAGCAUCGACUAAGGCCCCUAAGCGUGCGCUAAGUGGGAAAGGAUGUGGAGUCGCAGAGACAACCAGGAGGUUGGCUUAGAAGCAGCCACCCUUGAAAGAGUGCGUAAUAGCUCACUGGUCUAGUGAUUCCGCGCCGACAAUGUAGCGGGGCUCAAGCGUACCGCCGAAGUCGUGUCAUUUGCACAAGAGCUCUAACGAGUGUGUAGAUGGGUAGGGGAGCGUCGUGUGCCGGGUGAAGCAGCACUGGAAGGUAGUUGUGGACGGUUCACGAGUGAGAAUGCAGGCAUGAGUAGCGAUUCACACGUGAGAAACGUGUGCGCCGAUUGACUAAGGGUUCCUGGGUCAAGCUGAUCUGCCCAGGGUAAGUCGGGACCUAAGGCGAGGCCGACAGGCGUAGUCGAUGGAUAACCGGUUGAUAUUCCGGUACCCGCUGUGAAGCGUCAAAUAUCGAAUCUUCUGAUGCUAAGGCCGUGAAGCCGCCCUGAUCUCUUCGGAGUUGAGGGGAGUGGUGGAGCCGCCGGCCCAAGGGGGUAGUAGGUAAGUGAUGGGGUGACGCAGGAAGGUAGUCCAGCCCGGGCGGUGGUUGUCCCGGGGUAAGGGUGUAGGACGUUCGGUAGGUAAAUCCGCCGGGCAUGUGUCUGAGACCUGAUGCCGAGCCGAUUGUGGUGAAGUGGAUGAUCCUAUGCUGUCGAGAAAAGCCUCUAGCGAGUUUUAUGGCGGCCCGUACCCUAAACCGACUCAGGUGGUCUGGUAGAGAAUACUGAGGCGUUCGGGUGAACUAUGGUUAAGGAACUCGGCAAAAUGCCCCCGUAACUUCGGGAGAAGGGGGGCCAUUCCUGGUGAUCGAAUUUUCUUCGUGAGCUGGGGGUGGCCGCAGAGACCAGCGAGAAGCGACUGUUUACUAAAAACACAGGUCCGUGCGAAGCCGUAAGGCGAUGUAUACGGACUGACGCCUGCCCGGUGCUGGAACGUUAAGGGGACCGGUUAGUCAACUUUCGGGUUGGCGAAGCUGAGAACUUAAGCGCCAGUAAACGGCGGUGGUAACUAUAACCAUCCUAAGGUAGCGAAAUUCCUUGUCGGGUAAGUUCCGACCUGCACGAAUGGCGUAACGACUUCUCGGCUGUCUCGACCAUAGGCCCGGUGAAAUUGCAGUACGAGUAAAGAUGCUCGUUUCGCGCAGCAGGACGGAAAGACCCCGGGACCUUUACUAUAGUUUGAUAUUGGUGUUCGGUUCGGCUUGUGUAGGAUAGGUGGGAGACUGUGAAGCUUGGACGCCAGUUCAGGUGGAGUCAUUGUUGAAAUACCACUCUGGUCGUGCUGGAUGUCUAACCUGGGUCCGUGAUCCGGAUCAGGGACAGUGUCUGAUGGGUAGUUUAACUGGGGCGGUUGCCUCCUAAAGAGUAACGGAGGCGCCCAAAGGUUCCCUCAGCCUGGUUGGUAAUCAGGUGGUGAGUGUAAGUGCACAAGGGAGCUUGACUGUGAGACUGACGGGUCGAGCAGGGACGAAAGUCGGGACUAGUGAUCCGGCGGUGGCUUGUGGAAGCGCCGUCGCUCAACGGAUAAAAGGUACCCCGGGGAUAACAGGCUGAUCUUCCCCAAGAGUCCAUAUCGACGGGAUGGUUUGGCACCUCGAUGUCGGCUCGUCGCAUCCUGGGGCUGGAGUCGGUCCCAAGGGUUGGGCUGUUCGCCCAUUAAAGCGGUACGCGAGCUGGGUUUAGAACGUCGUGAGACAGUUCGGUCCCUAUCCGCUGCGCGCGUAGGAGUCUUGAGAAGGGCUGUCCCUAGUACGAGAGGACCGGGACGGACGAACCUCUGGUGUGCCAGUUGUUCUGCCAAGGGCAUGGCUGGUUGGCUACGUUCGGGAGGGAUAACCGCUGAAAGCAUCUAAGCGGGAAGCCUGCUUCGAGAUGAGGACUCCCACCCACUUGAUGGGGUAAGGCUCCCAGUAGACGACUGGGUUGAUAGGCCGGAGAUGGAAGCCAGGUGACUGGUGGAGUUGACCGGUACUAAUAGGCCGAGGGCUUGUCCAU